UACGUAGGUGGCAAGCGUUGUCCGGAUUUACUGGGUGUAAAGGGCGUGUAGCCGGGAGGAUAAGUCAGAUGUGAAAUCUGCGGGCUUAACCCGCAAACUGCAUUUGAAACUGUUCUUCUUGAGUACUGGAGAGGCAGACGGAAUUCCUAGUGUAGCGGUGAAAUGCGUAGAUAUUAGGAGGAACACCAGUGGCGAAGGCGGUCUGCUGGACAGCAACUGACGGUGAGGCGCGAAAGCGUGGGGAGCAAACAGG
rnacentral:rRNA from 1 species